GCUCUCACUGUCCCAUCCUCCCUCAGGCUCCUUCCUCUUCAGGACACCACCAGAUACAGCAUACAUCCUACCAUGCUCCUCUGCUAAUGCUUGAGAACCAGCAACAGAGAGUUGCCUUGACGUCAAAGAUACAGACUCCUCUCUCCCUUCCAUAUCCACCACUCCAGGGCCUGCAUUAAGAUCCAGACCCUGCCUGCCCCAUUUUCUGUUGUGGUCCAUGGUA
rnacentral:misc_RNA from 1 species